rnacentral:rRNA from 1 species
GACGAACGCUGGCGGCGUGCUUAACACAUGCAAGUCGAACGGAAAGGCCUCUUUCGGUGGGUACUCGGGGGGCGAACGGGUGAGUAACACGGGAGUAACCUGCCCUUUACUUUGGGAUAACGGCAGGAAACGGGGGCUAAUAGCGGAUAGGAGCUACGGCUGAAGGGUGGGGGUUGGAAAGUUUCGGAGGUUGGGGAUGGACUGGCGGCGUAGCAGCUUGUUGGUGUGGUAGUGGCUUACCAAGGCUUUGACGGGUAGCCGGACUGUGAGGGUGACCGGCGACAUUGGGACUGAGAUACGGCACAGAUGCCUACGGGAGGACGCAGUGCGGAAUCCUGAACCAUGGGUGCCAGGCUGAUGCAGCAACGCCGUGUGCGGGAUGACGGUUUUCUGGUUGUAAACCGCUUUCGCUCAUGACGCAGCUUUGUGUGACGGUAGUGGGUAAAGAAGCACCGGCUAACUACGUG